UACAGAGGGUGCAAGCGUUGUUCGGAAUUAUUGGGCGUAAAGGGCUCGUAGGCGGCCAACUAAGUCAUACGUGAAAUCCCUCAGCUUAACUGGGGAACUGCGUGUGAUACUGGAUGGCUUGGAUUUGGGAGAGGGAUGCGGAAUUCCAGGUGUAGCGGUGAAAUGCGUAGAUAUCUGGAGGAACACCGGUGGCGAAGGCGGCAUCCUGGACCAAUAUUGACGCUGAGGAGCGAAAGCCAGGGGAGCAAGCGGG
rnacentral:rRNA from 1 species